UGCAGUCGAACGAAGGCUUCGGCCUUAGUGGCGCACGGGUGCGUAACGCGUGGGAAUCUGCCCUUAGGUACGGAAUAACAGUGAGAAAUUACUGCUAAUACCGUAUGAUGACGUAAGUCCAAAGAUUUAUCGCCUAGGGAUGAGCCCGCGUAGGAUUAGCUAGUUGGUGAGGUAAAGGCUCACCAAGGCGACGAUCCUUAGCUGGUCUGAGAGGAUGAUCAGCCACACUGGGACUGAGACACGGCCCAGACUCCUACGGGAGGCAGCAGUGGGGAAUAUUGGACAAUGGGCGAAAGCCUGAUCCAGCAAUGCCGCGUGAGUGAUGAAGGCCUUAGGGUUGUAAAGCUCUUUUACCCGGGAAGAUAAUGACUGUACCGGGAGAAUAAGCCCCGGCUAACUCCGUGCCAGCAGCCGCGGUAAUACGGAGGGGGCUAGCGUUGUUCGGAAUUACUGGGCGUAAAGCGUACGUAGGCGGCUUUGUAAGUUAGAGGUGAAAGCCUGGUGCUCAACACCAGAACUGCCUUUAAGACUGCAUCGCUUGAACGUCGGAGAGGUGAGUGGAAUUCCGAGUGUAGAGGUGAAAUUCGUAGAUAUUCGGAAGAACACCAGUGGCGAAGGCGGCUCACUGGACGACUGUUGACGCUGAGGUACGAAAGCGUGGGGAGCAAACAGGAUUAGAU
rnacentral:rRNA from 1 species